AUACGGAGGGGGCUAGCGUUGUUCGGAAUUACUGGGCGUAAAGCGUACGUAGGCGGACUGAUCAGUUGGGGGUGAAAUCCCAGGGCUUAACCCUGGAACUGCCUUCAAUACUGUCAGUCUUGAGUUUGGGAGAGGUGAGUGGAAUUCCUAGUGUAGAGGUGAAAUUCGUAGAUAUUAGGAGGAACACCAGUGGCGAAGGCGGCUCACUGGCCCAUUACUGACGCUGAGGUACGAAAGCGUGGGGAGCAAACAGGAUUAGAAACCCGAGUAGUCC
rnacentral:rRNA from 1 species